AACGAACGCUGGCGGCGUGCUUAACACAUGCAAGUCGAACGCGGAAGGGGCUUCGGUCCUGAGUAGAGUGGCGCACGGGUGAGUAACGCGUAGAUAACCUGUCCUGGUGUCUGGAAUGAUAUCUCGAAAGGGGUGCUAAUACCGGAUAUUAUUGCUUUUGAUAAGUUAUGAAAGGAAAGGUGGCAUCUGGAACCAGCUACUGCACGAGGAGGGGCCUGAGUACCAUGAGCUAGUAGUUGGGGUAAUGGCCUACCUAGGCGACGAUGGUUAGCGGUUCUGAGAGGAUGAUCCGCCACACUGGUACUGGAACACGGACCAGACUCCUACGGGAGGCAGCAGUGAGGAAUAUUGCGCAAUGGGGGCAACCCUGACGCAGCGACACCGCGUGAGUGAGGAAGGCCUUCGGGUCGUAAAGCUCUGUCAAAGGGGAAGAAGUGCAUGGUGGUUAAUAUCUGUCAUGUUUGACGGUACCCUUAAAGGAAGCACCGGCUAACUCCGUGCCAGCAGCCGCCGUAA
rnacentral:rRNA from 1 species